rnacentral:rRNA from 1 species
CAAUAGCAUAUAUUAAAGCUGUUGCGGUUAAAAAGCUCGUAGUUGGACUUCUGUUGGAGAUAGCCGGUCUGCCCUGCGGGCAAGCAUCUGGUCAAACUCUGACAUCUUGCUAGGGAAUGCUGUUGCGCUUGAUUGUGUGGCACAGGAUCUUGCUCUUUCACUUCGAAAAAAUUGGUGUGCUUCAAGCAAGCGACAGUGAUUGAACAUGGUAGCAUGGAAUGAUGAUUAAGACCUUUGUUCCCUUUUGUCGGUUUCAGGAACUAGUGUGAGAAUGAGUAGGGAUUGUUGGGGGCAUCCGAAUUUGGUUGUCAGAGGUGAAAUUCUUGGAUUUGUCAAAGACGGACAAGUGCGAAGGCAUUCGCCCAAGAUGUUUUCGCUGA